rnacentral:pre_miRNA from 1 species
UCUUUCCUUUAGUGAAGUUGUAGCUCAGUUGGUAGAGUUGGUGGCAACGGUGCUUUAUCAAAAUGAUUAGACAUUUAAACUAUUUUAGA